rnacentral:tRNA from 1 species
GUAGUCGUGGCCGAGUGGUUAAGGCGAUGUACUAGAAAUUCAUUGGGCUCUGCCUGCACUGGUUCGAAUACUGCCGACUACG